rnacentral:lncRNA from 1 species
ACUCAAAUUCUUCAAGGUAUGACAUCAAUCCUCCUUUCCAAUUCCCUAUAUGACAAAUCACAAGCAAGGAAACAAAGAGACAAACAAUAAGCAAAGACAAGCUACCUAGGCGGUUUGACAAUGGAGAGUAAAGAAAAUAAGCUAUGAAAGUAAGCAAGAAAUUAAAGUGCAAGAAAUGCAAACUAGGCGGAUCCUAAGAGUGUUUGGAUGAUCUUAUUUAAGGUUCCUAACAAAACACUCACUAUCCUAAGGGAAAAUUGCCUAAAAUUAUUACACACAAAUGGAAGUAGGGUGACCUAUUGGAGGCUCCCAACUUACUUCCAAUGAAAGUCUGCCUUUGUUACAAAAUUUGAAAGCAAAGCAAAUUGUCAAUUACAAAAUUACAAAAAAAAGUACUCAAUUGUGGUGGCUAUUAUAUCUUUGAUGUUUUACUCAAUUUGGAGUGCUUCUUAGUCCAAUAGCUCUUAAGGUGGUUGACCCCUUGCUUCUUGACUCAAAUUCUUCAAGGUAUGACAUCAAUCCUCCUUUCCAAUUCCCUAUAUGACAAAUCACAAGCAAGGAAACAAAGAGACAAACAAUAAGCAAAGACAAGCUACCUAGGCGAUUUGACAAUGAAGAGUAAAGAAAAUAAGCUAUGAAAGUAAGCAAGAAAUUAAAGUGCAAGAAAUGCAAACUAGGCGGAUCCUAAGAGCGUUUGGAUGAUCUUAUUUAAGGUUCCUAACAAAACACUCACUAUCCUAAGGGAAAAUUGCCUAAAAUUAUUACACACAAAUGGAAGUAGGGUGACCUAUUGGAGGCUCCCAACUUACUUCCAAUGAAAGGCCUUUUUGUUACAAAAUUUGAAAGCAAAACAAAUUGUCAAUUACAAAAUUACAAAAAAAAAAGUCCU